CUUAUCUGUGCACACAAUUGCGCACAUACAACCCUGUGGACUUUAAGAACCUGCGACACGCCUCUGAGUCAUAGUUAACACUUAGCUUCUAUACACUCAUCAACCACAACGUUAUGUAGACUUGUACAAUUAAAUGAGAACCGUUCAUGUAUCUUAACAAAUGUAAUAAUGCAUCAAGUUUUGAUUGACACUGUCGAGGCGCUGUUAACUUAAUGAAUGUUUAUUAAUGCGGUUGUGGUUUGCAAUGGGGUAAAACUGCACUCCAUCACAACAGAGUUCUCAUUUUGGAUUUUUCGUUUUUGUCAGUUUUUACUUUUUGACUUUUGUUGUUUAAAUUCGGUUAGUUUUAAUUCAUUUUUAGAGCAGGUUUUUAUGUUCAUGAAACAGACCUGGAUAAAAAUGAUGGUACCCUCAAUAUUUUGUUGUACAUUUGAGGGAAUUACUGCAAUGAAAAGAUUUUUUUUUUGUAACGUUCAUUGAGAGUUCUGUACAUUUGACUUGAUAUUUCCUAUGCUGAUCUCAGCACAUUUUGUGACUUUUUCCCUCCUUGUGUUUAGAGUAUUUCAUCAUUUUCAAUACACCCCUUGUAUUGGAUCUCAUUAUAGUGUGGAUGUAAAAAAAAAAAAAAAGUCUGCUGUUUGUAUAACCAUAAUUCCAAGACAAUCGUUUUGAACAAAGAAGAGGAAGCGCUGCGGCGGCGUCUUGAACUUAUCAGUUCGCAGGUUCGUUUGAACAAACCGCCUCCCACUAUCGCGUCCCACGCUAGCUGAUAAUUUACCUCGAUAGCUUC